GACGAACGCUGGCGGCGUGGAUUAGGCAUGCAAGUCGAACGGUAUCAUCCUUUCGGGGGUGAGAGAGUGGCGAACUGGUGAGUAACACGUAGGUUAUCUACCCUCAAGACGGGGACAACCCAGGGAAACUUGGGCUAAUACCGGAUGUGAGCAACUUUUAGUUGUUUGAAAGGUGGCGUAAGCUGUCGCUUGGGGAUGAGCCUGCGUCCUAUUAGUUAGUUGGUGAGGUAACGGCUCACCUAGGCAAUGAUAGGUAGGCGGCCUUAACGGGUGGUCGCCCACACUGGGAUUGAGAUACGGCCCAGACUCCUACGGGAGGCAGCAGUCGAGAAUAGUCUACAAUGGUCGGAAGACUGAUAGUGCGACGCCGCGUGAACGAUGAAUCCCUUCGGGGUUAAAGUUCUUUUAUAUGUGAGCAGUGCUUCUUAUAUUAACAGUAUGGGGAAGAGAUAUUAGCAUAUGAAUAAGCAACGGCUAACUCCGUGCCAGCAGCCGCGGUA
rnacentral:rRNA from 1 species